UACGUAGGGUGCGAGCGUUAAUCGGAAUUACUGGGCGUAAAGGGCGCGUAGGCGGCCUGCUAAGUCGAACGUGAAAUCCCCGAGCUCAACUCGGGAACUGCGUCCGAUACUGGCAGGCUUGAAUCCGGGAGAGGGAUGCGGAAUUCCAGGUGUAGCGGUGAAAUGCGUAGAUAUCUGGAGGAACACCGGUGGCGAAGGCGGCAUCCUGGACCGGCAUUGACGCUGAGGCGCGAAAGCCAGGGGAGCAAACGGG
rnacentral:rRNA from 1 species